CCCUGACGCGCGUUUCGCCACACUGGCUCUUCCGAGGGGAGGAAGAGCCAGUGUGGCGAAACGCGCGUCAGGGAU
rnacentral:miRNA from 1 species